rnacentral:rRNA from 1 species
GGCCGCGUCGACCUUAACACAUGCAAGUCGAGGGGCAGCAUGAACUUAGCUUGCUAAGUUUGAUGGCGACCGGCGCACGGGUGAGUAACGCGUAUCCAACCUUCCCUUUACCCGGGGAUAGCCUUUCGAAAGAAAGAUUAAUACCCGAUGGUUUCGGGGUUCCGCAUGAGACCUUGAAUAAAGAUUUAUCAGUAAAGGAUGGGGAUGCGUUCCAUUAGGUAGUAGGCGGGGUAACGGCCCACCUAGCCGACGAUGGAUAGGGGUUCUGAGAGGAAGGUCCCCCACAUUGGAACUGAGACACGGUCCAAACUCCUACGGGAGGCAGCAGUGAGGAAUAUUGGUCAAUGGACGAGAGUCUGAACCAGCCAAGUAGCGUGAAGGAAGACUGCCCUAUGGGUUGUAAACUUCUUUUAUAUGGGAAUAAAAAAGUCCACGUGUGGAUUCUUGUAUGUACCAUAUGAAUAAGCAUCGGCUAAUUCCGUGCCAGCAGCCGCGGUAAUACGGAAGAUGCGAGCGUUAUCCGGAGUCGACGCGGCCG